rnacentral:lncRNA from 1 species
AAACUUGCAGUCACACAAGGACCUGAACCUAGAGCUUUUCUAAAGCCCGUACUCUUUCCAGUACCCUGAGCCAGGGGAGCCAGCGGGCAGAAAUGACGUGUGAGGUACCCUCUCUCCCUUCACUUCCAUGUGAUCUGUGACUCAUUUUGUCAAGACAUCCUGGGUCCCAGGACCACUCUUAUUCCCAGGUGUGUGACCUCCUCCUACAGAGUACAGUGGGAAAGACACCGUCUCCAGGUAACCCCAACACAGUGAGGGGUGGAGCGGGGAUGUGGUCAUUUGUUCCAGGUAUUGCUGAUUCUCUUGAGGUUCAAUCCAGGGCUAGAGAUUGUGAUUAAAGAGAUACCCAGAUUGGGUAUGCGUGCAAAGAGCAAGAGCUAUGAGACCAAUGUGACAUUUAGGAUUAAUUAGUCCCUUCCACAGGGCAGGC